rnacentral:lncRNA from 1 species
UGGUCCACAAUUUUUUGGGCUCUUCUUCGAGUGGAUCUUCCUUCAGUGGCUUGCCUUCCUUGGUGUCCUCUUUAGGUAUGGUACAUUCUAUGAUGAAAUCAGUCAGUAUUUGCGUCUUAACGGAAGGAUGAGGUCAAAACUUUAUAUUUAACUUCAUGAGUAUGAUCACCUGCUUUGCUAGCCAGCUUGAUGUAUCUGGCCGAUGCAAAAUGGACUUCAAGGGCCG